UACGUAGGGGGCAAGCGUUGUCCGGAAUUAUUGGGCGUAAAGAGCGCGUAGGCGGUCCGGUAAGUCGGUUGUGAAAGUCGGGGGCUCAACCCUCGGAUGCCGAUCGAUACUGUCGGGCUAGAGUCCGGAAGAGGCGAGUGGAAUUCCUGGUGUAGCGGUGAAAUGCGCAGAUAUCAGGAAGAACACCAAUGGCGAAGGCAGCUCUCUGGGACGGUACUGACGCUGAGACGCGAAAGCGUGGGGAGCGAACAGG
rnacentral:rRNA from 1 species